CACACACACACACACACACAUACCUUCAAUCUUCCCACUCUCUCCGCUGCGAUCCCCACUCCACUCUCCUUUACUGUUUUAUUUGAUCGAUUUUUCGAGAAAAACCCUACAAGUUCACUUCAAAAGUUUGGAUUUUUAUAUUUAUUUUUCAAGAUAUUCGGUUAAAUAAUUUUCCUUUUGUAGUGUUUGCAGGCCUCUAUUUUUGCCUUGAGCUUCAGUUCAAUUGGUGUUUGAAUUUCAUUAAUUUAUUUGGGUUGUGGUGGUUGGAUAAAACCGAGAAUUGGGGAACAGAGCAGUGAGCCAAAGGUACCAAUUUUUGUGUUUUCACUUUCAUGCAUGACUUAUAUAAUUUUUUUUAUGAUUUUUUUUCGCGUGUUGUUAUUAAUUGAGAUUUUGUAUUUAAGUAGUGAAAUUUGGUCUUAUUAUUUGUUCUUGAAUUGUUUUUAGGGUUUCCGAAACGUAGAUUUGAUUUGAGUGUGGUGAAUUUACUGUUUGUGGGGUAUAUCCGUAUAUGUAAGUAUAAGAGACAAGGGGGUGUGUGUUUGUGUGAAGUCAGAACUAAGAGCUUGUUUUCUGGGGUUGGGGUUGGUGUUUCUGUAGAAUCUGACUUUGGCGAGGUAGUGACCGGAGAAUUGAGACUUCGAGUUGAUUCGGGUCUUUUUCGCUUGGGCCCGUGUAGUUGCUUCUAAUCCUGAUGCUGCCCCUGUUGUUGCUCUUUCUGCUGCUGCUGAUGCUGACGAGCGACUCACAGCUCAUUGCCUCCGGUACCUGGAAUUGAUCAUGAAUCGGUCAGGAAUUGAUGUAGCUGUGCUGUGUGCACCAGCUGCUGAUUGUCUGUCUAUUUAAUCUAACAAUUUAUAUAUGAUCUUGUUUGUUCAAAUUUUGAAAAUAAAAAACAAAAAAUAGUGCUUUCUUUCAAGGUUUCUUGUUUCUUUCUAUUCAGAUGCAGUUUUCACUUUCAUUUCUUCCAAUAUUUAUUGAUCUUCAUAUGUACACACAUAUGUUCAUGAGCUUUGUAGUUAAGUUCAUGCGUCUUUAACAAGUCACAUUCGUAAUUUAUUUUCUGUGUCAUAGCUAGUCAUGAGCUUUGUGUGGUAAAUUCUUGUGUCAUAACUCGGCCGCCUCAGGGUGUAGAUAUUAGAGCAUUUGAAUCAUGUGCCUGUUUCUGUACCUAGUGUUAAUCGAGAAACUGUUGGACCCAAAUGUAAUGGAAUGUCUGUUGGGCAUACGAGGUGAUUAAUUUACGUUUAUCUAUUAAUUGUUGUUUUCUUUUCUUUCUUCCUAGUUUCUUAUCUCUGAAAUGUUUCUUCUCAAAAACAUUGGUCGACCAGCAGCCAGAAAACCAUGGAACAGAAGAGGUCUACUUUUCACCUGCAACAUCAACAUUCCAAAUGGUCUACAUCACCCUAGUCUAAAUUUAGGGGCCAACAAACAAUCGCCUGAGGAAGCAGAGGAGAAAAGCCUCUCCUAGAAGCUUACCAUGGUGUUCAAGGACCUUUCUACUCCACAACGGUUGGAGGACUGAGAAGCUCUGACAAUCCUGAAAGUAAGAUCACCCCUGUGCACGCUACUGAUGAAGAGUUCUGGGGUGCAACAUUUAAAGGUGAUAUGAAGCGACUAUCUUUUUCUUUUAUUAAGGGAAUAAGUGACUAAUUUAUAAACACUAGUCAAUACUAUGGUUUAUUGGCAUGCUAUGCCUGUGGGAUUAUAGGCAUAGGAUCUACGUUAAUGGUUGAGAUGUGUAGUAUCGCGUCGCUAAUGUAGAGGCUCUGUAAAGUUCCUUUUGGAGAUGCGCCUUUGAUUUUCUGUUUGGGGGAUUGGGUCUAGUUUUAUUUUCUGUUUUGCUCUCAGUGCAUAGUGUCAGAAAAGCAAAGCUUAGCAAUGGAACUGGUAAAAGCCUUAGUAGGAUACAGUUUCAAAUCAUCAGAUAAAACACUGCAAAAACUGCUGGUGUUGAGUUUUUGCUGCGAGUUAACUGAUGAUGUGAGAGUUGAAAGGCUUAAGCUUCCCCUCUGAGGAAACUAUAUCGCAAGCAAAUCUGAAAAUAACGGAUGGACUUGAAACUCCAAAUCAGAUGCAAAGAAAGCAUCAGAGCUGUGACGUUUAGCAAACUGGUGAGAGAAUUUGCUCGUACAUAUCUUUCGAAGAUGAAGUCCAUACAACUUGAGAAACAUGUACCAGAUCUCUAGGAACAUUGAUGUCAUGGACUCAUGUGUGGCGAAUGGCGGCGGAGAUGGUUUCUGGUGAGGGCCAGGGAUUUUGUUGAAUGCAGAUUGUCAGCAUUUUGCCACAAACUAGAAGUUUUUUUUCCUGAUAGAGGUGCGCCGUCGUCUUCAAAGUCUAAAUUUAAAUCUGCAUCCGUUUCGGUGCGGGAGGUUGUAUGGUGUUGGAUGCAAGGCAUGCAUCAGGAGCCAUGUACAUACCCCAACACUCAAGUGACUGUUUGAUAAGAGAAUUUGAUCUGUACAGCUAUGCUUUUGUCCAUCUAUUUGAUCUGAAUCAUAUCGAUGAUCUUCCUGAGCC